UUCACACGUGGUAUUUGUGACAUUUGAUAGACGUCAAGUUUUAUUUUUGUUUGUAAAAAUGGAAUAUUUAUAUUGCUUGUAGGUUAUUAUUAUUUAAUUUCUAUAAAAUGGUAAUGUGUUGGGUACCCGAAUGGUUAUCAUUGAUAUUGAAAUCUGCUGAAAGGAGUAAAACUACUCAUUUUAUGUUCCUGCUAUUUUUAUAAAGAAGAUAAAGAAAAUCUUCUCACCAUAUUUUCAAAUAGGACUGGUGAAGAUGCUGAAGAAAUGCAGUAGUACUAUCUUGUGUGUAAAAUCCUUGAUUUUGUGUAAUUUAUAAAAUUGAAAGCAAUAUGAUAUGACUAACAAGGAUUGUGUCUAUAAAAAAAUAUAUCACAGUUACAAUAAUAAUGCAUUAUUGUCUUUUUUGAUAACUAUAAAAUGCACAUACAACGUUGUUCCAGCAUAGUAUUCUAGUAUAGAUUUCCAUUUCAGCAUAUCAAGAACAAUCACAAUUUAGUGAAAGUGUACAUGGAAAUAACAACUACUGUAUAUUGAAAUAUUGUUUAAUAUUUAAUAUGCUAAGUAAUAUUCAGUUAGAAUAUUAUCAUGGAUCAUGGAUGGGUGAAAUAUCAGUUUUAACAAAAAAAAAAGAAUGUGUUGUAUUUUGUAUGCACCUAAGAAGUUAUACUUCUAUUAUAUGAUUUCAAUGAAAUAAACAUAUUUUAAACAGUU